AAAAUGUACUUUAUCAAUGAUACAAAUAGAACUAUCAAGUGGUCCCUAUACAUACAUUGUAUAUAGGCAUCACUAUUUUUGAGCUGUUUUUUUUUAUUAUGACUUAAAAUAUUUUUAGCUAAAGAGAUAAAAAUAAUUAAGGAGUACUUAAUAAGGAAGUACAAAAUAAACUGGCGUACAGUUGCUAAAUAUAUAAAUUAGAAAUAAGAAGAGAAAGUAUAGGAAAUUAAGAUAAAAUAUAAAGGGA
rnacentral:lncRNA from 1 species